ACCACUUUACUUUUCUAUUAUUUACUGUUUUAUUUUUCUUUUUCAUUAUUUUCUUAAAUAGUUAUUUUUAGAUUUUGGUCGAGUCAUACAUGUGUUGUUGAGUCCUAUUUCAUAAUAUGUUUCAUUUGUUUGAAAUUUCCCUUAGAUUUGACCCCGAACGAUAAAAACAAAUUUGUUUUGAUUCAAUGGCAUGACACAUCUU
rnacentral:lncRNA from 1 species